UGGAUGAGUGGCGAACGGGUGAGUAACACGUGAGUAACCUGCCCCCUUCUUUGGGAUAACGCCCGGAAACGGGUGCUAAUACUGGAUAUUCACUGAUCUUCGCAUGGGGGUUGGUGGAAAGGGUUUUUUCUGGUGGGGGAUGGGCUCGCGGCCUAUCAGCUUGUUGGUGGGGUGAUGGCCUACCAAGGCUUUGACGGGUAGCCGGCCUGAGAGGGUGACCGGUCACAUUGGGACUGAGAUACGGCCCAG
rnacentral:rRNA from 1 species